rnacentral:lncRNA from 1 species
GGUUGAAAAAAAAAAUUGUGAUGGGCCAAGCCCAGGCAGCCAGGCCUAUCCAAUGAACAAACUUGUUUUGGAAGCUUGAACGGGCUUGCGGAGCGUACAGCAUUGGCCCAAACCUGCCCAACCAGGUGGCCCAUGAACAAAUAUAGACGGUAUAAAUAUUUUAUAUUAAUUUUUGAAUAUAAAAAUAAUAAUUAGAUGAUAGAGAUCUGAUGAGUUUAAUUGUGCCUCUAACCACAGCCGCACCCCAAGUUCGAGCAUUGCACAGGAAAUCCUUGCCCUUGUUGCUAUGAAUUUGGCGCAUGCAUGAUAGCGAGAUAUUGGUGGCUUACCCUCCAACCAUAAGAAUGACAUCCUCGUAUUUCUGAAUAUAAAGAUUAUAUAGUGCUACACCAUAAAAUUGAAGUUAGGGGGUUGCUGAAGCGGGUGGAAGCUCAUCCGAUACUCUAUAAUAUCUGAAAGUCUCUUGAUUAUUUUUUUACGAUAAUUAUUCGACUUAUUUAUCGAGAGGC